rnacentral:rRNA from 1 species
UACGUAGGGUGCGAGCGUUGUCCGGAAUUAUUGGGCGUAAAGAGCUCGUAGGCGGUUUUGUUGCGUCGGCUGUGAAAUCCCGAGGCUCAACCUCGGGUCUGCAGUCGAUACGAGCAAAACUAGAGUGUUGCAGGGGGAGACUGGAAUUCCUGGUGUAGCGGUGAAAUGCGCAGAUAUCAGGAGGAACACCGGUGGCGAAGGCGGGUCUCUGGGCAACAACUGACGCUGGAGGAGCGAAAGCCGUGGGGGAGCGAACAGG